AAUUUCGGUGGCCUAGAAAAAUAUAUUUCUAGGCCACCAACUUCAAACUGUCAUAACUUGGCUGA
ensembl:ncRNA Y73B3A.25 ncRNA